rnacentral:rRNA from 1 species
UACGGGGGGGGCAAGCGUUGUUCGGAUUUACUGGGCGUAAAGGGCGCGUAGGCGGCCUGUGCAAGUCAGUUGUGAAAUCUCCGAGCUUAACUCGGAACGGUCAACUGAUACUGCUCGGCUAGAGUGCGGAAGGGGCAACUGGAAUUCUUGGUGUAGCGGUGAAAUGCGUAGAUAUCAAGAGGAACACCUGAGGUGAAGACGGGUUGCUGGGCUGACACUGACGCUGAGGCGCGAAAGCCAGGGGAGCAAACGGG